GACGAACGCUGGCGGCGUGCUUAACACAUGCAAGUCGAACGGAAAGGCCCUGCUUUUGUGGGGUGCUCGAGUGGCGAACGGGUGAGUAACACGUGAGUAACCUGCCCUUGACUUUGGGAUAACUUCAGGAAACUGGGGCUAAUACCGGAUAGGAGCUCCUGCUGCAUGUUGGGGGUUGGAAAGUUUCGGCGGUUGGGGAUGGACUCGCGGCUUAUCAGCUUGUUGGUGGGGUAGUGGCUUACCAAGGCUUUGACGGGUAGCCGGCCUGAGAGGGUGACCGGCCACAGUGGGACUGAGAUACGGCACAGAAUCCUAAGGGAGGCAGAAGUGGGGAAUAUUGCAAAAUGGGCGGAAGCCUGAUGCAGCAACGCAGAGUGCGGGAUGACGGCCUUCGGGUUGUAAACCGCUUUAGCCUGUGACGAAGCGUGAGUGACGGUAAUGGGUAAAGAAGCACCGGAUAACUACGUG
rnacentral:rRNA from 1 species